UUUUGAAACGUUGGGGAGCGAGGACGAGUCUGCUCGGUCUUGGAAGAAAUUCGUUCGACGCGUUCAAGAUUGAAGUCAUUUAAGUGGUCCUGAUCACCGGCAGGCUGGACACAACGACUGAGGGACGGAGACAACGAACUUUGUGCUUCAUGCACGAACGUUGAUGCGUGAAUUAGAGAAGCCGAGAGUGCAUUUUGCACCUCGAUUACACAAGCAAGUUACGUCAAGCGAUGUCGUAAAUGGGUGAGUCAAUCGUCUACUGUGGUUGGUGUUACGUUCUGUGGAAGAAACGGAAGUUGGGGAAGAACAGCUAUCCAAAGGUGUGGAAGAGAUAAAGAAGCGUGACCACAGAGCAGCUGCAGUGGUGAAGGAGAGACGCAGUGGUCAUCGUUCAUCCAUAUACGUUGUGCCC